UGGGGAAUAUUGGACAAUGGGCGAAAGCCUGAUCCAGCAAUACCGCGUGUGUGAAGAAGGCCUUAGGGUUGUAAAGCACUUUCAAUUGGAAGGAAAACCUCAUGGCUAAUAUCCAUGAGCUUGACAUUACCUUUAGAAGAAGCACCGGCUAACUCCGUGCCAGCAGCCGCGGUAACACGGAGGGUGCAAGCGUUAAUCGGAAUCACUGGGCGUAAAGCGCUCGUAGGCGGUCUUGUAAGUCAGGCGUGAAAGCCCUCGGCUCAACCGGGGAAUUGCGUUUGAUACUGCUCGACUUGAGUAUCGGAGAGGGUGGCGGAAUUCCAGGUGUAGGAGUGAAAUCCGUAGAUAUCUGGAGGAACACCGGCGGCGAAGGCGGCCACCUGGACGAAUACUGACGCUGAGGAGCGAAAGCGUGGGGAGCAAACAGG
rnacentral:rRNA from 1 species